UGGGGAAUUUUGGACAAUGGGCGAAAGCCUGAUCCAGCAAUGCCGCGUGUGUGAAGAAGGCCUUCGGGUUGUAAAGCACUUUUGUCCGGAAAGAAAUCCUUGGCUCUAAUACAGUCGGGGGAUGACGGUACCGGAAGAAUAAGCACCGGCUAACUACGUGCCAGCAGCCGCGGUAAUACGUAGGGUGCAAGCGUUAAUCGGAAUUACUGGGCGUAAAGCGUGCGCAGGCGGUUUGCUAAGACCGAUGUGAAAUCCCCGGGCUCAACCUGGGAACUGCAUUGGUGACUGGCAGGGCUAGAGUAUGGCAGAGGGGGGUAGAAUUCCACGUGUAGCAGUGAAAUGCGUAGAGAUGUGGAGGAAUACCGAUGGCGAAGGCAGCCCCCUGGGCCAAUACUGACGCUCAUGCACGAAAGCGUGGGGAGCAAACAGGAUUAGAUACCCUGGUAGUCCACGCCCUAAACGAUGUCAACUAGUUGUUGGGGAUUCAUUUCCUUAGUAACGUAGCUAACGCGUGAAGUUGACCGCCUGGGGAGUACGGUCGCAAGAUU
rnacentral:rRNA from 1 species